rnacentral:rRNA from 12 species
GGAAAGAAGACCCUGUUGAGCUUGACUCUAGUCUGACGUUGUGAAAUGACAUUUGAGGUGUAGAAUAAGUGGGAGAUUCGUCGUUCUUGAAAUACCACUACUCAGAUCGUCGUUUUACUUAAUUCGUGACGUGGUGAUGCGUGUGAUGAUAAGUCGCACGUGUUUUCGUUCGCAAGGUUGUCUUU